CGGCGGACGGGUGAGUAACGCGUGGGUAACCUGCCUCAUACAGGGGGAUAACAGUUGGAAACGGCUGCUAAUACCGCAUAAGCGCACGGUACCGCAUGGUACCGUGUGAAAAACUCCGGUGGUAUGAGAUGGACCCGCGUCUGAUUAGCUAGUUGGUGGGGUAACGGCCUACCAAGGCGACGAUCAGUAGCCGACCUGAGAGGGUGACCGGCCACAUUGGGACUGAGACACGGCCCAA
rnacentral:rRNA from 1 species